AUGUGGUUUAAUUCGAUGAUACGCGAGGAACCUUACCUGGCUUAAAUGUAGUAGUGCAUUUUCUAGAGAUAGGAAUUCCUUCGGGGCUUUCUGCAAGGUGCUGCAUGGUUGUCGUCAGCUCGUGCCGUGAGGUGUCGGGUUAAGUCCCAUAACGAGCGCAACCCUUAUCGUUAGUUGCCAUCUGGUAAAGCAGGGGACUCUAGCGAAACUGCCACCGUAAGGUGAGAGGAAGGUGGGGAUGACGUCAAAUCAGCACGGCCCUUAUGUCCAGGGCUACACACGUGUUACAAUGGCCGGUACAGAGGGCAGCUACCUGGUGACAGGAUGCUAAUCUCGAAAACCGGUCUCAGUUCGGAUCGAAGUCUGCAACUCGACUCCGUGAAGUUGGAUUCGCUAGUAAUCGCGCAUCAGCCAUGGCGCGGUGAAUACGUUCCCGGGCCUU
rnacentral:rRNA from 1 species